GUGCCAGCCGCCGCGGUAAUACCGGCAGCCCGAGUGAUGGCCGAUCUUAUUGGGCCUAAAGCGUCCGUAGCUGGGUCUGAAAGUCCAUCGGGAAAUCCACUCGCUCAACGAGUGGCCGUCCGGUGGAAACUCCACACCUUGGGACCGGAAGGCUCGAAGGGUACGGCCGGGGUAGGAGUGAAAUCCUGUAAUCCCGUCCGGACCACCAAUGGGGAAACCACCUCAGGAGGAUGGACCCGACAGUGAGGGACGAAAGCUAGGGUCUCGAACCGGAUUAGAUACCCCGUAGUCC
rnacentral:rRNA from 1 species